AUUAGAUACAUUUGCAAACCUGGUUUAUUAUUUCAAUGUCAUGGUGCCCCCCUGUGCAAAAUAACUUACAAUCUUAACUGCACCGUGAAGUUUUUAAACGACAAGACAAAUCUACCUUGGUAGAGGCCCAAAGUUCAGGUAAAUUCAGCACCUUCAUUUUUCUGAAGCUGUGAUAAAUAAAGGCUCAACGUGGUUUAUGGUGCUGCCAGUGGAGCAGGGGAUGACUGAUUUUUUAAAAAACAAACAACACAUCCUCAGCACAACCUGAAUAUUUCUGUGUUAACUUACUGACAUACACGCACAUUCAAAUGGGGCCCCUUAAAAUAUGCAUGUUAACCACUUGUUUCUGCCCAGCAAUUUCAAGUCGGUACUGUCUCAAGUUUAUGAACAUGCUGAGCAGUCUCCAGAAUUGACCAGAAAAGUUGUUCAAUGCAAACAAGGGCACUGUUCAGAUUUCCAUGCAGCCUGUCAUGUCAUGGAGUGGGUCGGCCAAGCAGUAACUGAAAGGUUCACCUUAACCAUCAACCCUCAACCAAGCUGAGGAUUCCACAUAUUUGCUGAAAAGGCCCAGCACGCUUAUCUCCCCCCAGAGGGAAGAGAACCAAUAAUCUUUGUUCAAUGGACCACCCUUGCAGCCUAGAAACCAAGUGGGGUAAGGUCUAGCGCACAGCAGUCCCCAAUCCAGCUUUCCCAUGACCUUCCUGUACAAUGAGGACCCACAUAAUUCACAAAUCCUUUGGAUAAAUGCCAGAUGCAUCGGUGCUGGCAACUCAGAUAAUUUGUGGGGAGCAAAGAAAUGUAAAAUGAGCAGCAGCAGCAGCAGGUCUCCCGCGCUCAUGCCACUGGGUUGCCUUCCGCCUCCCACCGAAGGGCCAACAGCUCAGGUCCUCCCCAUUUCACCACACACGACAGGAAGGGGCAGUUUCCUGCGCCCUGGCCCCUCGCAUAAGCCCAAAUCACCCGGCCUCUGGGCUGUGGGGGGCGCCUGUCUCUGGGCCCUGCCAUUUCAUGGGGCGCAGCCGGCGGGGAGUUCCGCACGGAGAGUUCCAGAAGCAGCCAACCACCGCCAUCUCUGCGGCUCUGGGGCCGCCGCCUCUCGCUCCCAACCCGCAGCGUAACGAAGGUGACGCCAGGGGGCGGUGAGAGGCCCGGGGCCUCGGACUCGGUGCCUCCGCGGCCUCAAAGGGCACACGACCCCCGGCCCGCCGCCCUCGCUCCUGCCGGCCUGGCUCCCCUCGCGACCGGCCUCGGGUCUCCUUGUUCUCGCCCGGCCUGGCCUGCUCUCGUUCCCGCCCCGGCCGCCCUCGCUCCCGCCCGGGCCCUGACCGUUGAGGCAGACGGUGGGCUGCGAGCAGAGCGGACUGUUGCAGGGCACGCUGGGCCGCAGCUAGAUGCCAAAAGCCCAGGGGAUCUUGAAAGCCAGUGCUGAAGACAGCAGACCCUUUUCCGCCACCAUCAACAUGGGUCCCAGAAGAACUGUGCAGAGCCCUGCCUCCCUCACCCAGGAGCGUCACAGGAUUAUUGUAAGGGAGAUAGCAACUUUUGUUAUAGCAGCUUAGAAUUAUCCUAGCUAAUACACAUCCACUUUACAAAGGAGAUUAAAGGCUGAAGAGUUACUCAUUUGUUCAAAAAGAUCCCUCACUAGAUAUUGUAUGUCUUGAAGAAAUGAAGCUGCUCAAGGAUUCUACAGCAGUUCUAAAUUGUACAGUCCUUUAGGAAGUGGGAGAGCAGCAGUGGUCUUAGGUACUCUGGUUUGGUUUGUGCUACGGUGCCACAGCAGUGCCACACUGGGAAGGAUGCUUGGCGGCUUGCUUCAAUUUUCAUGUUUCCCUUUUCUUGUCAAGUGCAGAUGGACAGCCUGGUUCCCAGAUAGCAGAAUGCUGCGACAGCUUUCAGCACUCUCUUGCUGAUGGAAAUCUCAAUGGUGGCUCGGUUUCCCUGGUGCAUGACUGCGGUCCUCUUAAGGCUGAGCACCAGCGUGCUUACAUUGCAGGAGUCUGUAGCAUUUGCAUGCCUUUUGCAGAUGUGCUCUGUGAAUGCAGACAUCAGCAACCACUGGAUUACAAUCAAAUAGUCUCAUCAAAAGGUUAG